GACGAACGCUGGCGGCGUGCCUAAUACAUGCAAGUCGAGCGGACCGAACGAGAGCUUGCUCUUGUUUGGUCAGCGGCGGACGGGUGAGUAACACGUGGGCAACCUGCCCGCAAGACCGGGAUAACUCCGGGAAACCGGAGCUAAUACCGGAUAACACCAAAGACCGCAUGGUCUUUGGUUGAAAGGCGGCUUCGGCUGCCACUUGCGGAUGGGCCCGCGGCGCAUUAGCUAGUUGGUGAGGUAACGGCUCACCAAGGCGACGAUGCGUAGCCGGCCUGAGAGGGUGACCGGCCACACUGGGACUGAGACACGGCCCAGACUCCUACGGGAGGCAGCAGUAGGGAAUCUUCCGCAAUGGACGAAAGUCUGACGGAGCGACGCCGCGUGAGCGAAGAAGGCCUUCGGGUCGUAAAGCUCUGUUGUGAGGGACGAAGGAGCGCCGUUUGAAUAAGGCGGCGCGGUGACGGUACCUCACGAGAAAGCCCCGGCUAACUACGUGCCAGCAGCCGCGGUAAUACGUAGGGGGCGAGCGUUGUCCGGAAUUAUUGGGCGUAAAGCGCGCGCAGGCGGUCCUUUAAGUCUGAUGUGAAAGCCCACGGCUCAACCGUGGAGGGUCAUUGGAAACUGGGGGACUUGAGUGCAGGAGAGGAGAGCGGAAUUCCACGUGUAGCGGUGAAAUGCGUAGAGAUGUGGAGGAACACCAGUGGCGAAGGCGGCUCUCUGGCCUGUAACUGACGCUGAGGCGCGAAAGCGUGGGGAGCAAACAGGAUUAGAUACCCUGGUAGUCCACGCCGUAAACGAUGAGUGCUAAGUGUUAGAGGGGUCACACCCUUUAGUGCUGUAGCUAACGCGAUAAGCACUCCGCCUGGGGGAGUACGGCCGCAAGGCUGAAACUCAAAGGAAUUGACGGGGGCCCGCACAAGCGGUGGAGCAUGUGGGUUUAAUUUCGAAGCA
rnacentral:rRNA from 1 species